GUCACAUAGGAACCUUUCAGCAAAAGGAGACAAAACCAAGAUUUUCCUCCUUAACUCUACCAGUAUGAGAAUUCAACAUUUACUCUCCAUUUCCUGGAGGAGGCAGGCAAUCUUUAUUUGGAAAAGAAAACAACACAAGAUAACUAAAAAGUGGAUGUUUCUGAGUCACAAGCACUGAUCACGGAUGGAUGGUUGUAGUGUUACACUCCAGCUUAUUGGUUUCAGUUUACUGCAGGCAGAUGGAAAUAUGAGUAAAGCUCAUAAGCAAACACAGGACCACCACCAGAAGACUAUGUAACAAAACUUCCAGGAACUUAUUCAAGUGUGAAGAUGCUUUGGGUGCUGAAACUACACAAUAUACAUUUUGAGCACAACUAACAAAAAAUAAAAAAAGGUAGUGAGUCCUGUCUCUAAACUUUGCAAACUAGUGUUGCACAGAAAAUAAAAACAUUCACUUCAAAAUCUGUAGAUGAGUGCACUGGGAAGAAGGCUUAAAAUGUCUGUGAAGAAGGCUGAAGAAAUUCUAAGAUGCUAUUUGUUGCUUACCAGUAAAAGCAAGGAGAGUUUUGCAGUUAUUACCAAGCAAAAAUCCUGGAUCAUCUUAUGGGUAUUCUGACUAACGAACUCAAGAUUUGGCACGAAGACUCAUAGAGUGAGCCAAAAGCUGAACUGGAAAAAAAAAUACAUGAAGAAAAAAAACCAAAACUCUUUAAUCUCCUCAGUGUUUUAUUGCAGACUAGAUUUUCUUUAUCAGUUUUUGAAAAUUUCUCCUCCCUCCCCAAAUUUACUGUCUUUUUUCCUGUUGAAGAACUAGAUAUGAGGGCUGCUCCAUAUUCUGAGUAUUGCUUAGUAUGCUGUUGAGACCAACAACAAAAAUACCACUAGUUUCAAUUUAAGAUUAACUCAAAUAAGUUAAAAUCAUGCAAGUAACAAGAGUGAGAUGAACUAUUGCUCUGCCAUCUUCAUUUGUUUCCUUUAUUGUCUGGUAAACUGAAUAGUACCUAUCUCUCCAUGACAUCCAAGGAGAUCAAAAGGCUUGUGUCAAAAAAAAAAAAAAAAAAAAUAGUAGAUUUUCAGCCAUUCUUCUUUUACUGGAAUAUAUCUCAUUUUUCUAAAAAUUUUCACAGCUUCUGGCUGACAGCCAAAAUGUGAAAACUUUCUAGCUUGGGUGACAAUCAGAAAUUUUUGAACAAAAUUAUAAAAUGUCUAGGUUAGACAAAAGUACUCACAUCCUGUUAAAAUAAAGGAAACAUUUAGAAGUUCGUGUAUACGAGCACAUCUCUUAAUCUGCUGAUUUGUAGAAGUAUGUAUAUAUUAAUGAACACGUGUUACCUGUGAGUUGGGUGCCCCGUUUUAAAACUCUUAACUUUAAGAUAACUGCAGCAAUCCUGCAGAUUUACCAGAUUUACCAAAGCACAGUUGUAUUUACAUCACAGUUACAGAUUCUCUUUGAACAGGCCCAGAACAUAUAGAAUUGCUGAAAAAUGCAGGUAAAUAGCUUUUUUAAAGGACAUAUUAUUUCUGUUAUGGUUGUAGUUCUAGGUUGAUGGAUGGUUAUAACAGCAGAUAAAAGUCAUAGGGAGACGUGUACUACCACUAGCUAAACUCAGAUGUUUCUGUAAAAAUUCUGUGCUCUGACUUUUCAGGAUGACAACAAAAUGUGUUUUACAAAUGCAUGUACUUUUGGGGGUACUGCAGUCGUGAAUGCUUGAAUAAACUCAAAUAAUAUUUUC